rnacentral:lncRNA from 1 species
UUUAGAAUUUAGGAUUUAGAAUUUAGAAUUGGAAUUUUCGAUUUAGGAUUUAGAAUUUAAGAUUAGGAUUUUGGUUUUUGGGUUUUGGAUUUAGAGUUUAGAAUUAGGAUUUUGGAUUUAGGAUAUAGAGUUAUAUGUUUGUUUCUAAAAAAUUGACUAGAUUUUAGAAUUUAGGGUUUAAAAUUACAUAGGUGUAUCCAAGUUAUCUGACCUCCAUAUUCUUGUAUUUUAAGUUGAUGUACCCGCCUCCAUCAUUUUUGAGAUCUGCAAUUCUAAUGGUACAAACAACUUACUCUACAUAUUCUUACUUAGCAAGUUAUAAGGUGGUUGAUUUUUGUGAUGAAUGGGGUAUUUGAAUGUAUUAAAAGAGUCAUUGGAUUGAUUUGGGGACUACUAAUUGUAAACAUGUGAUUGAAUUAUUGUGGAUGUGUACGGAUGAGACAAUAUUGGAUAUUUAGUAUUUAGGGUGUUUGACUUACUAUAUACAAUUGAAGAAGAAUAUUUGAGGUUUUUAUUUAAUUUUCUCUCUAAUUUGUGGGAUCUACCUAUCAUAUGGUAUAAAUAACUUGCUCUACAAGUUUCUCAAUGUUGAGAUAUAAGACCUUGGACUUGACUCAAGUUUGAAGGUUGACUUUUUAUGUGCUUCAUAUUUUGGAGAUUUUAAGUGGACAUGCUUACAUGUUAAUCAAGCUGCUCAUUUCAAUGGCAUGUUUGAAAUCUUCAUCAUAUCUACAGUU